rnacentral:rRNA from 1 species
GAGCACGUAGGUGGGUUUGUAAGUCAGCUGUGAAAGGCUUCUGCUUAGCGGAAGAACAGCAGUUGAAACUACAGUGCUUGAGUGCGGGAGGGGAGAGUGGAACUUCCGGUGGAGCGGUGAAAUGCGUAGAUAUCAGAAGGAACGCCGGCGGCGAAAGCGGCUCUCUGGCCCGUAACUGACGCUGAGUGUGCGAAAGCUAGGGGAGCAAACGGGAUUAGAUACCCCGGUAGUCCUAGCCGUAAACGAUGGGCACUAAGUAGAGGGGUUUU